ACCCAUAUUGCUGAUUGAAUUGUGUGGGAGAACAGGAAAUGAAACAGAGAAAUCACUGAGGAAUUAACCCACGCUGGAAACAAAAAUGUAUAUGCAUACCGGAUAGUCGGUUUUCAUCACACUCAAAUGAUAAUUUAAGAAACACCGAAGGGAAAUGCAUUGGUUUUUCGCAUCAUGAGCAUGCACUAGGUUGGAUAAAAAGUUCCAGCCGUAUGAUUCAUGGUUCAAAAGCUCACAUCAUUGACAAUCGGCUGUGGAAUUUAGCCUCCUAUCCUAUAGGCCUUCUCUCACUCUGAAUUUUUAUGUGACGUGCUCCUCAAACUUGGCCACACUAGUUGAGAUUGUUCGGAGUAUAACUUUGUCAACUGGCCUUCCUCCCUUCUCCUGUCACACUCAGUGAAUAUUGUUUAUCUGUCUCUAACUAACUAUGAGAUAAACCGUGGAAUUAAAUAUUCCCCUUUGGGUGAUUCCCCAUGUAGCAUACGUCGGACUCGAUACAUAACCAGGAACAAUGUGUUAGUGGAGGAGUGAUACUAAGCAGCUGUGCUUGCCCCUGCCCCUGCCCAGUGUUGGCUAGCUAAUUACGACGGAAAAUGCCUGGAGAAGCCGUGGACGGACAGGUCCACCCAGCCUGACCGCGUGCCGGGUAUUUCUCAGACAGCCUUAUUUCCAGUGCGUGUUGGUUUCAUUAUUUCUGCCAAGUCAGACUGCAAUUAAGAGAUUAAAGCGCGACGACUAACGCAAAAGGAGGCAGCAGCUCAAGGCCGGAGACGGAGCAUAAAGACUGACGCAAUCCAGCGCGCCUGCGGCAAGCUUGAAGGUCCAGUGUGUUUCGCAUUGUGCGCUGUUCAGAGGUUGUCCAUGGCAGCCUGUCCAGGUGCCCAUCUGAUUGCGCUGUCCCUUGGAGGAAUUCAUAGAGGUCCCUCCAUCUGCAUAGUUUUCCCUUCACGAGAUUUAAGUAAAUAUGUCAAGGAUCCUUUCACCCUGCUUUGUUCUUCUUGGAGAGAAACACUCAAAGACAAGUUUAUGUUUCUGACCAGAUAUAACCACACUACAAUAUUCUGGCAGAGCAACAGUCAUAUUGUCCGUUACUCAAUGUGUGUCUCAGCACGUACAAUGAACUGAAAUUAAUUAUUUCAUAUUUAAAAUAAUUUCUGAAGUAUUCCUGAAGUAAACCGUAAAGUAACUCUGAAGGAAAUGCAUAGGCUAGCGGUUGGCAGCACAGAAAGAUGCUCUUCUGUUGUACUCAGUUCUGUACUCCUAUGUGGCCAUUAAUGUGGAAAAUAGUCACUGGCCCACAGGUGGGCAGGUCAAAGCGCCACACAACACAUACCACAACUGCAGUGCUCCCUGCAAUCCCAGCACUCCAAUUCAAAAUGGUGCAGUCACACAAUGUGGACAAAAAGUCUGAUAAUAAUAACAACAAGGACAACAAUAAUUAUUAUUAUUAUUGUUAUUAUUAUUACUAUUAUUAUUAUUUACAUUGCCCAUCAAUUACUUUUUUUUUUCAAUUACAGUUAUGUUUUUCAUUAUUUUAAAAAACUCAAUUUGUUUGUUGUAUUACUAGAUAGUUUUUUGUUGUGGUUUCGCAAAUGAGAAAAGUAAAGAUGCUUUUACUUUCCACAUGUGAUUUCGCUUUCUGUCAGUUUGGUUUUUAAGCCAAUUAUAACAAUGGCCAGAUUGUGUUAAACAUUAAAAUGCACUUAUUUUACAAUACAUGCCAUAAAUGCUUAAAUCUGCUCCCACUAUCAUAUCCCUUAGUUAAGCAAAUCACAAGAUUUUAUCUGUAAUUAUUAUUCUAUCACAAUAUUGUGUGAUGCAUAUCGACAAAAACAGCCUCAGGGGACCUUCCGGGUUACUUAGUAAGCAGAGAAAUUCACCACGAGUUAUAGUUGAGCCUGAUAACCUCGACAUUUCAAGAUGAAGUCUGGAAUAUAUCCUUAGCUGGUUUUGAUUUGGAGUCCACAGCGGUAGAACACAGCUUCUUUCUUCGGCCAAGGUACGGUUAGCAUAAGUCCGCUUGGGCUCCUCUUAUUGCCAUUGUGCCUGUUCCGGCUGGCUGCUCACCACGAGCUUGCAUCUUACCAGUCGUUACCAGCGUUAUCAGCGAUUGCUCCUAGCCAAAAUAAUCACUGGCUGACAGAGCAUACUGGAUACGUGCAUACACUUCCAGUGCUUAGCUCUCUGUGGUGGGUAUGCAUUGUGUAGCAGUGGCUCCAGAGCAAAGCACAAUUUCUAAUUCUAAAAAUGUGAUGAUCUUAGGAUAAAUUACAAUGUAAAAAAUAGCAUUUCCAAAAUGGAAUGUUGGUAUGAUGGAAUGGAAAGGCUGUCUCCGCAAU